rnacentral:tRNA from 1 species
GCGGGCGUAACUCAGCUGGUAGAGUGGGAGCUUCCCAAGCUCCAGGUCGCGGGUUCAAGUCCCGUCGCCCGCU